UUACUUAACUUUAUUGUAACAAGCGGAAUUUAAUUUAGACUAAACCAACUAAAUAUAUUUUAUAUAAGUUUAUAAUAAACAAACAAAAUGAAAUAUAUUUUUUCAUUAGGUUCAGAAUUAUCUUUUUUUGCGAAAUUGAUCGACACCAUGCCCAGCCCUUCUAGGGUAGGGUAGGUGCCUGAGCCCGAGCUUGCUGCUCACAAGACUGCCAUUCCCGUUAGUCUCCUUGGGGCGGGAUGGCAGAUCAGAGAGGCCUAGCUUCUCCCUACGUGCCCCGUGAGGGCGGGGAAUGUUGCUAGGCCUGGGGACAGUUGGUCCCAAAAAUGAGGGGGUACUUGUGCCUCCUCCCAUGGGAGACUUAGGUCUCAGACAGUCCCUAGAGAAGGAGCCAAGGCCGGGUCACCACUUGGAAAAGGCCCGGGCCGGGACAAUACCGGCGAAUAUUUAAUAAUAAUAAUUUUCGAAAUUGUUGCAUACACAAAUUUUCGCUUUCUCUAUUCGGCAAGAAGAGCAUGGCUAUUUAAGCCAAAAUCGCAAGUUUUACUUAUUCGGCACGACGUAUAUAUCAUUAACGAACUGUGGAAUGGCCGGGAAUCGAUCCCGUGCUACCUUAGCCCUCAUCGUGGGAAGCGAGACAACGUCCACGAUGCUUUAACCACUGGAGAAAAUGCUGAUGGAAAUACAUCUCUAUGUAUAUAUCCGUACUAUUAAUUUUAGUAAUUGCUGCUGCUAGGUGAAAUGAUUAUUCCUGACAAACAUACAAUUAUCACUUAGAAAGACGAGGUUAAUUCCAGUUAUAUUAUGAAUUUAUAUAUUUUCCUUAUAAUAUUUUCCUCCUAUGUGUUCUGUAAAAAUUCUUUUUCAGUAUAUUAAAUCUGUUGAAUAAUACAUUCACAUAAUACAUAUGAAAUAGCUUUUCUUUGAAACACUCGUAAGAAGCAAUCAUUUUAAUGAUUUUAAUACUGUCUGCUCGCGCAUACCAGCACCUCAAAGACUUCGUCUGGGAGACACAAAUGACUCGCAACUCAACCAAGAAUGUGGUUCCUCGAGUUACCAUCGAAGCCACAGGAUUCUACACACUGAGAUUCUCUCUGUUUAUUCAUUUUUAAGGUAUCAUAUAUCAAUGUAUGAGGAAGACAGUCUGCUACAGAGGAUUGUUUACCCCAGCAAAGCCUCGCCACAAGGAAACAGAACAUAUAUAUCAUCGAUGUAAUAUCUAAUAUUUUGUUUAGAGCUUAUUAGAACAUUUUAUUGCCAUUAUUAACAUCAGUUUCAUAUUUCAUAAUAAUUUAAAGUCUGUGGAUGACACUCACAUUAUUUCUUACUUAUAUUUGAACGUGAAGUCAAUACCCACAAGGAGACAGAAACAGGAGUGGUGGGUUGCCUGUAUAACAUAACCUUCAACUGGGGUCCUUUUCAGCAGGAGAGGAUCUCAGUUAUAGGUCAAAAUAUACACACAACCUGUCACUCUAGAUUCAGUCUCUAUGUGAGUAAUGACCUCUCGUUAACAGCUGUUAAGUACACUUUGACGAACCCAUAUUUAUGAAUAAAGCUGCAAUGUUAUGAUGCAGUAGUACAUCUAUCUUGAAGGUUAGUUAAGUUGUGUUAUGAUGUCGAGCCUUCUUUCCCAGUUGACUGACGACGGGUGUUCUCAUAAUCCAGCGCCAGGUGUUCUCAUCAUCCAGCGCCAGGUGUUCUCAUCAUCCAAUUGACACUAUGGUAUUUUCCCCGUAGAAGCAAGUUGGAUGUCAAGGGAAGGCAGAAGGUCGAUAAUAUGGGCUUGUG